UACAGAGGUCCCAAGCGUUGUUCGGAAUUACUGGGCGUAAAGAGUGCGUAGGCGGUUCGGCAAGUUGGAAGUGAAAUCCCGGGGCUCAACCUCGGAAUUGCUUUCAAAACUGCCGAUCUAGAGUAUGGUAGGGGAUAGUGGAAUUCCUAGUGUAGGGGUGAAAUCCGUAGAUAUUAGGAGGAACACCAGAGGCGAAGGCGACUAUCUGGGCCAUUACUGACGCUAAGGUACGAAAGCGUGGGGAGCAAACAGG
rnacentral:rRNA from 1 species